AAUGUCAUCUCCAGUUUGGCUUACUGGAAAGACCUUGUUCCUUUGCUCGUUACCUUCUUUGGUAUAUAAAAUUUGGUAUCGCUAUGCUUGAGUCUAUUUUUCAUUCCAUAUGUCUUGCUGUUCAUUCAUGUAUAGAGUUCAUUUGACUAAAGUUCUUCUUCAUAACAGUAUCUCUCCCACUUUGAAUUAUACAUGUUAUCUAUGAUCUGUGGUAUAUGCUUCUACUCAUUUCCAUGUUCAGUCGUCCUUCAAACAUAACUUGUACAUGUCUUACCAUUAAUUUUGAGUAUUUGAAUGUUCAUAUGUUUUUCCUUGAAAAGCAUCUUUAAUUUACAACUCAUUCAGUAUUUGAAUGUUAAAGCCUUGUUUGUUAUGUACAGAAGCUAUGUAACUACAAAUUACUACCAAAUAAUAACCUGGUAGGUUUUGGUACCAAAUGUGAUGGAUGGUUUUGAGACUUGCUAUUAUUUUGUACAAAGUGAUAAGCAUUCUCUAGCAUUUACUCUCUUAUCAGAUUCUACUGUUAUUCUGAAGUUUUGAAGACAACAAAAUAAAGAAGUAGAGAUGUGUUCAAGUUUUGUGAGUACUGUGCAGUUUAAUAUCAAUGGAAAGGAAACUAUGUUUGCAUUACAACCAAGAAAGCAGCUGAAGCUGGAGAAGGAACAUCUGCUGGUGGAGCAAGCACUAAGAAAAGAGUGAGAGCAAAGGUCCAAAGGGCACCAGCCCCACCCAAGGAAUCAAGACAUAUCAAGGACCAGGUCAUAACGUCUAAAAAGGGAUGGAAGAAAAUGAAGUUGGCAAUGGAGGGUAGUUCUGCUGGAAAUGGUAGUGGAUCAGCUUCAACACAGCCUCCUACUCAAAGCAGCCAAAAUCAUGCAGCAAGGUGUUCUACAAAGUGAAUGUGUUGGCUUUUAAAUUAGAGAAACAUAAUGUGUACUUCAUCAUGGUUUGGAAUCAAUUUUU